AGCGAACGCUGGCGGCAGGCUUAACACAUGCAAGUCGAACGCAUCCUUCGGGAUGAGUGGCAGACGGGUGAGUAACACGUGGGAACGUGCCCUCCGGUCUGGGAUAACCCUGGGAAACUAGGGCUAAUACCGGAUACGUGCUUUGGCAGAAGGGUUUACUGCCGGAGGAUCGGCCCGCGUCUGAUUAGCUAGUUGGUGGGGUAACGGCCUACCAAGGCGACGAUCAGUAGCUGGUCUGAGAGGAUGAUCAGCCACACUGGGACUGAGACACGGCCCAGACUCCUACGGGAGGCAGCAGUGGGGAAUAUUGGACAAUGGGCGCAAGCCUGACCCAGCCAUGCCGCGUGAGUGAUGACGGCCUUAGGGUUGUAAAGCUCUUUUCUCCGGGACGAUAAUGACGGUACCGGAGGAAUAAGCCCCGGCUAACUUCGUGCCAGCCGCCGCCGUAACAC
rnacentral:rRNA from 1 species